rnacentral:rRNA from 1 species
GUGGGGAAUCUUCCACAAUGGACGAAAGUCUGAUGGAGCAACGCCGCGUGAGUGAAGAAGGUUUUCGAAUCGUAAAGCUCUGUUGUCGGGGACGAAUGUUGAGACCGAGAAUAUUUGUUUCAAAUGACGGUACCUGACGAGGAAGCCACGGCUAACUACGUGCCAGCAGCCGCGGUAAUACGUAGGUGGCGAGCGUUGUCCGGAAUUAUUGGGCGUAAAGGGAGCGCAGGUGGGAAAGUAAGUCUGUCUUAAAAGUGCGGGGCUCAACCCCGUGAUGGGGUAGAAACUAUUUUUCUUGAGUGCAGGAGAGGGAAGCGGAAUUCCUAGUGUAGCGGUGAAAUGCGUAGAUAUUAGGAGGAACACCAGUGGCGAAGGCGCCUUUCUGGACUGUGUCUGACGCUGAGAUGCGAAAGCCAGGGUAGCGAACGGGAUUAGAAACCCCUGUAGUCC